rnacentral:rRNA from 1 species
UACGGAGGGGGGCUAGCGUUGUUCGGAAUUACUGGGCGUAAAGCGCACGUAGGCGGCUUUGUAAGUUAGAGGUGAAAGCCCGGGGCUCAACUCCGGAAUUGCCUUUAAGACUGCAUCGCUAGAAUUGUGGAGAGGUAAGUGGAAUUCCGAGUGUGGAGGUGAAAUUCGUAGAUAUUCGGAAGAACACCAGUGGCGAAGGCGACUUACUGGACACAUAUUGACGCUGAGGUGCGAAAGCGUGGGGAGCAAACAGG